UACAGAGGAGCCAAGCGUUGUCCGGAUUGACUGGGCGUAAAGCGCACGCAGGCGGACGCGCGCGUGGGGUGUGAAAUCUGGCCGCUUAACGGCCAGGCGCCAUCCCAUACGGCGCGUCUGGAGCAAUGCAGAGGUCGGUGGAAUUGCCGGUGUAGUGGUGAAAUGCGUAGAGAUCGGCAGGAACACCCAGGGGGAAACCAGCCGACUGGGCAUUUGCUGGACGCUGAGGUGCGAGAGCGUGGGGGAGCGAACCGG
rnacentral:rRNA from 1 species